rnacentral:rRNA from 1 species
AAGGUGGGGUGACGUCAAGUCAUCAUGGCCCUUACGGGUAGGGCUACACACGUGCUACAAUGGCCGGUACAAAGGGUUGGGAAGCCGCGAGGUGAAGCCAAUCCCAGAAAGCCGGCCUCAGUCCGGAUUGGAGUCUGCAACUCGACUCCAUGAAGUCGGAAUCGCUAGUAAUGGUGCAUCAGAAUGGCACGGUGAAUACGUUCCCGGGCCUUGUACACACCGCCCGUCACACCAUGGGAGUGGACUGCACCAGAAGUGGUUAGCCUAACU